UACGUAGGUGGCAAGCGUUGUUCGGAAUUAUUGGGCGUAAAGGGCGCGUAGGCGGUCUUGUAAGUCAGCUGUGAAAGCCCGGGGCUCAACCCCGGAGGGUCGGCUGAUACUGCAGGACUAGAGUACAGAAGAGGUAACUGGAAUUCCAGGUGUAGCGGUGAAAUGCGUAGAUAUCUGGGGGAACACCGGUGGCGAAGGCGGCAUCCUGGACCAAUUCUAACACUGAGGAGCGAAAGCCAGGGGAGCAAACGGG
rnacentral:rRNA from 1 species